rnacentral:rRNA from 1 species
CACGGGGGGAGCAAGCGUUGUUCGGAAUCACUGGGCGUAAAGGGCGUGUAGGCGGUCAGGUAAGUGAGAUGUGAAAUGCCCCGGCUCACCCGGGGACCGGCAUCUCAUACUGCUUGGCUUGAGUACGGGAGAGGAUGUGGGAAUUCCUGGUGUAGCGGUGAAAUGCGUAGAUAUCAGGAGGAACACCGGUGGCGAAGGCGCACAUCUGGCCCGAUACUGACGCUGAGGCACGAAGGCCAGGGGAGCAAACGGG